rnacentral:lncRNA from 1 species
GAGAUGUGGAGGGGGAACCCCUAGAGCCAGGAAACAGAAACAUCCCGAGGACAUCCUGAAGGACCAGCCAUCUCCUGAGGAAGAGACGUCUUUACCUACUGCUGCAGAAAGCGAGUGUGUUUCAGCACGGAGGUAGCGCUGUUUCACAGAGGAGUGGACUACACGUGCUUAAAGAGCUUGGUCCGGUUCACUACAGCCAGAUGUGAAAAUGCUGCCUCCAGCUAACUCCAGCCCCUGCAAACUGCCUUCUGUGAGCACCUUUCCUACCUGCUGCCCAUCUCCUGCCAGACCCCUGAUCUCCGCCUGGCUGGUUUGAUUCUCCUCUUGAUGAGACCCCUGCACCCUCACCUACCUUCCUGAAUGGAUCUGACCACCGAGGGAAUCUGGACCACCGCAUUCCUUUUCUUUCUGGGCAGUGAAUGAAAACCGUGUGUCUUUUGAAGAACAGUGUCUGAAAGAAAUAUUGAUGUCUGCCAGGGCAUCUACAGAAAAAGGAUAAGAAAAUUACUGCAACAGGGAAGACAAAGGGGCUUUGUUAACUCUUUCUUGUAGGUUGUAUAUAUUAAUAGUA